rnacentral:lncRNA from 10 species
GUUAUAUUGGGCAACAAUGACAACAAUUCAGUGGGCUAAAGAAAAAGUUUAAUUUCUGCUGAUAUUGCAUAUCCAACAAGGACUGGAAGAGGGAAUCUUCACUUUGGACCCUAAAAGGUCCAGCCUGAUUUUGAAAUUUGAAGACAAAUUGAUAGGUGGAAACACGAUUCAAGAGAAGGUGAACACACCAUUGUUACUACAGACAGAAGAUGGAUUGAGGGAAGAGUGGCUUAUUUAAUUGGUGAAUUUUAGAGAAGAAAUUGAGAAUGUCUGCUACUUUUCAUCCCUCCUGAAACUACUACUAUUUUUAGAGGUGCCUAACAUGUUGACCUGCUCUUUGUCUUCUGAAUCUAAUUGGAAACCAUCUUGGAACACACAUGUUGUAUAAAAUGAGAUACCACUAUCUGCAUCUUGUGCCUUUUGUAACAAUAUAAUAAAAUUGUCAUAUAUUGAUUGCCGG